UGGUGGAGUGAUUUGUCUGGUUAAUUCCGUUAACGAACGAGACCUCGACCUGCUAAAUAGUUUGGGGAAUUUUCGAAUUCUUCUCAUUAACUUCUUAGAGGGACAAUCGGUUUUAGCCGAAGGAAGUGCGAGGCAAUAACA
rnacentral:rRNA from 1 species